rnacentral:rRNA from 1 species
GAUGAACGCUGGCGGCGUGCCUAAUACAUGCAAGUCGAGCGAACAGAUGAGGAGCUUGCUCCUCUGACGUUAGCGGCGGACGGGUGAGUAACACGUGGAUAACCUACCUAUAAGACUGGGAUAACUUCGGGAAACCGGAGCUAAUACCGGAUAAUAUAUUGAACCGCAUGGUUCAAUAGUGAAAGACGGUUUUGCUGUCACUUAUAGAUGGAUCCGCGCCGCAUUAGCUAGUUGGUAAGGUAACGGCUUACCAAGGCAACGAUGCGUAGCCGACCUGAGAGGGUGAUCGGCCACACUGGAACUGAGACACGGACCAGAGUCCUACGGGAGGCAGCAGUAGGGAAUCUUCCGCAAUGGGCGAAAGCCUGACGGAGCAACGCCGCGUGAGUGAUGAAGGUCUUCGGAUCGUAAAACUCUGUUAUUAGGGAAGAACAAAUGUGUAAGUAACUAUGCACGUCUUGACGGUACCUAAUCAGAAAGCCACGGCUAACUACGUG